AUUUUUAAUUUUCUAGUGAAAAGGAUGCACAAGUUAGCAUAUAUAAUGUAUCAUGGGAGACGAAUUAUGGGUUCUGCUGUCAUAUUGACGAAGAAUGCGCAAAAGAGCUAGCGGAUGUUCCUGGAGUCUUAUCUGUUUCACCAGAUACAAAUUUUGGAUCAGACAACAAAGAUUACAAAGGUGAUGAUAGCUUGAAAUCCUCAGAUGCUGCCCAGGUGUCUGAUAUCAAAACUAAAAGGCUCUUUGUUACAGGACUUUCAUUU